CAGCCGCCGCGGGAAUACGUAGGGUGCAAGCGUUAAUCGGAAUUACUGGGCGUAAAGCGUGCGUAGGUGGUGGUUUAAGUCCGUUGUGAAAGCCCUGGGCUCAACCUGGGAAUUGCAGUGGAUACUGGGUCACUAGAGUGUGGUAGAGGAUAGUGGAAUUUCCGGUGUAGCAGUGAAAUGCGUAGAGAUCGGAAGGAACAUCUGUGGCGAAGGCGACUAUCUGGGCCAACACUGACACUGAGGCACGAAAGCGUGGGGAGCAAACAGGAUUAGAUACCCCCGUAGUCCCUGUCUCUUAUAC
rnacentral:rRNA from 1 species